AGUGAACGCUGGCGGUAGGCCUAGCACAUGCAAGUCGAACGGCAGCACAGUAAGAGCUUGCUCUUACGGGUGGCGAGUGGCGGACGGGUGAGGAAUACAUCGGAAUCUACUUUUUCGUGGGGGAUACGUAGGGAAACUUACGCUAAUACCGCAUACGACCUACGGGUGAAAGCAGGGGAUCUUCGGACCUUGCGCGAUUGAAUGAGCCGAUGUCGGAUUAGCUAGUUGGCGGGGUAAAGGCCCACCAAGGCGACGAUCCGUAGCUGGUCUGAGAGGAUGAUCAGCCACACUGGAACUGAGACACGGUCCAGACUCCUACGGGAGGCAGUAGUGGGGAAUAUUGGACAAUGGGCGCAAGCCUGAUCCAGCCAUACCGCGUGGGUGAAGAAGGCCUUCGGGUUGUAAAGCCCUUUUGUUGGGAAAGAAAAGCAGCAGGUUAAUACCCCGCUGUUCUGACGGUACCCAAAGAAUAAGCACCGGCUAACUUCGUG
rnacentral:rRNA from 1 species